rnacentral:rRNA from 1 species
UUCUAUGGCCAUGCCACCCUGUGCAAGCCCGAUGUCUGAUCUCAGAAGUUAAGCAGGGUCGGGCCUGGUUAGUACGUGGAUGGGAGACCACCUAGGAAGACCAGGUGCAAUAGGCA